AUCGAUCUUUUUCCACCUCUAAUGUCUUUAUCAAAUUCGGGUUAUCACUGUUCGCUUUGCGCUCAUUCGUAUUUUGAAUUCGCAGUGAAAAGUUCGAAAAGUUAAAAACGUUUGCGCGAGUGCAAAUAUAUGGCGAAGUUCGCGAACUGCAGACCCAAAACUAGUCGGAUUAGUUAAGGUUAGUUAGUUGCGCUAAAACAAGGCUCCUGCCAAAAGUAAUGGCACGCCGGAAAAAAUUGUUCCUAAAGCAACAACAAAUACUACCACAAAAACGCAGCUGCAUUAAUGCUGUAAAAUUAUCUACAAAUUUUCGUGAGUGGCCAUACAACAACCACCUCAAACAACUACAUCUACAACAAUACGACACGCCUACGGCUGAACGGAGACCAAAUUAAAGUCGCGAUUAAAAACAGCAAAACCAAAUCUACCUAAGCCGUAAAGAAAGAGAACGAACUGUCUUCAUAUUGCACAAUCUGGACUCCUCCUCCCACCCAUUCUUCGUCACCCUUAAAGAUUGAGUUGGGCUUACGAAAUUUUUAACUCACGUUUUUGCGAACGGCUAUAAGCGUGACUCACGGCCAUGACCCCGUGCAAACGUCCCUGUACAUCCCCUCCCAACCGCCCACUCGUGCCUCUUUUGAGUGCGUCCUUGAGAUACAUAUCUCUCUGGAGUAGGCAUUAAAUGUGCAAGACAGCGAGGGAGAGAGAUAGAGAGAGAGAGAGGAGCGACUCCAACUCCUUUUGGCGCCUAUGCCGUCACUUUGGGGCGUGGCCAGUGACUUUAACGAUGAGCUCACACAGCAACAACAAUCAAUUCUCAUGCCGGCUUCAAAAAUGAGGAUAAGCUUAAGCGCAGGCGGAAAAGAAGGAGGAGAAGGAGAAUAAGAAAAGGCUUGGCUAACGAUCUUGGCAAUGAACUCAGGACUUUAAUCUGCAUCAUUAAUAUCCCCAGCAUUUAUCUUUCUAGAUCUGUCGCUAUAAAUUUAAAUAAUAGAUAACCCAAGAUAAGAUAAAGU